rnacentral:rRNA from 1 species
CAGCAGCCACGGUAAUACGGAGGAUCCAAGCGUUAUCCGGAUUUAUUGGGUUUAAAGGGUGCGUAGGUGGCCUGUUAAGUCAGGGGUGAAAGACGGUAGCUCAACUAUCGCAGUGCCCUUGAUACUGAUGGGCUUGAAUGAACUAGAGGUAGGCGGAAUGUGACAAGUAGCGGUGAAAUGCAUAGAUAUGUCACAGAACACCAAUUGCGAAGGCAGCUUACUAUGGUUUUAUUGACACUGAGGCACGAAAGCGUGGGGAUCAAACAGGAUUAGAUACCCGGGUAGUCCCUGUCUCUUAUAC